rnacentral:rRNA from 1 species
UGGGGAAUAUUGGGCAAUGGGGGGAACCCUGACCCAGCAACGCCGCGUGAGGGAAGAAGGUUUUCGGAUCGUAAACCUCUGUCCUUGGUGAAGAGGAGAAGACGGUAGCCAAGGAGGAAGCCCCGGCUAACUACGUGCCAGCAGCCGCGGUAAUACGUAGGGGGCAAGCGUUGUCCGGAAUGAUUGGGCGUAAAGGGCGCGUAGGCGGCCCGGUAAGUCUGGAGUGAAAGUCCUGCUUUUAAGGUGGGAAUUGCUUUGGAUACUGUCGGGCUUGAGUGCAGGAGAGGUAAGUGGAAUUCCCAGUGUAGCGGUGAAAUGCGUAGAGAUUGGGAGGAACACCAGUGGCGAAGGCGACUUACUGGACUGUAACUGACGCUGAGGCGCGAAAGUGUGGGGAGCAAACAGG